CUACGGGCGGCUCCAGUGGGGAAUAUUGCACAAUGGGCGCAAGCCUGAUGCAGCCAUGCCGCGUGUAUGAAGAAGGCCUUCGGGUUGUAAAGUACUUUCAGCGGGGAGGAAGGGAGUAAAGUUAAUACCUUUGCUCAUUGACGUUACCCGCAGAAGAAGCACCGGCUAAGUCGUGCCAGCAGCCGCGGUAAUACGGAGGGUGCAAGCGUUAAUCGGAAUUACUGGGCGUAAAGCGCACGCAGGCGGUUUGUUAAGUCAGAUGUGAAAUCCCCGGGCUCAACCUGGGAACUGCAUCUGAUACUGGCAAGCUUGAGUCUCGUAGAGGGGGGUAGAAUUCCAGGUGUAGCGGUGAAAUGCGUAGAGAUCUGGAGGAAUACCGGUGGCGAAGGCGGCCCCCUGGACGAAGACUGACGCUCAGGUGCGAAAGCGUGGGGAGCAAACAGGAUUAGAUACCCCAGUAGUC
rnacentral:rRNA from 1 species